rnacentral:rRNA from 1 species
CGGCAGCACGGAGCUUGCUCUGGUGGCGAGUGGCGAACGGGUGAGUAAAUAUCGGAACGUACCCUGGAGUGGGGGAUAACGUAGCGAAAGUUACGCUAAUACCGCAUACGAUCCAAGGAUGAAAGCAGGGGACCGCAAGGCCUUGUGCUCCUGGAGCGGCCGAUAUCUGAUUAGCUAGUUGGUGGGGUAAAGGCCCACCAAGGCAUCGAUCAGUAGCUGGUCUGAGAGGACGACCAGCCACACUGGAACUGAGACACGGUCCAGACUCCUACGGGAGGCAGCAGUGGGGAAUUUUGGACAAUGGGCGCAAGCCUGAUCCAGCAAUGCCGCGUGAGUGAAGAAGGCCUUCGGGUUGUAAAGCUCUUUUGUCAGGGAAGAAAAGGCUGUGGCUAAUAUCUGCGGCUCAUGACGGUACCUGAAGAAUAAGCACCGGCUAACUACGUGCCAGCAGCCGCGGUAAUACGUAGGGUGCAAGCGUUAAUCGGAAUUACUGGGCGUAAAGCGUGCGCAGGCGGUUUUGUAAGUCUGUUGUGAAAUCCCCGGGCUCAACCUGGGAAUGGCAAUGGAGACUGCAAGGCUAGAGUUUGGCAGAGGGGGGUAGAAUUCCACGUGUAGCAGUGAAAUGCGUAGAUAUGUGGAGGAACACCGAUGGCGAAGGCAGCCCCCUGGGUCAAAACUGACGCUCAUGCACGAAAGCGUGGGGAGCAAACAGGAUUAGA